AGAGUUUGAUCAUGGCUCAGGAUGAACGCUGGCGGCGUGCUUAACACAUGCAAGUCGAACGGUGAAGCAGGAGCUUGCUCCUGUGGAUCAGUGGCGAACGGGUGAGUAACACGUGAGCAAUCAGCCCCGAACUCUGGGAUAAGCGUUGGAAACGACGUCUAAUACCGGAUACGAGACGCGAAGGCAUCUUCAGCGUCUGGAAAGAACUUCGGUUCGGGAUGAGCUCGCGGCCUAUCAGCUAGUUGGUGAGGUAACGGCUCACCAAGGCGACGACGGGUAGCCGGCCUGAGAGGGUGACCGGCCACACUGGGACUGAGACACGGCCCAGACUCCUACGGGAGGCAGCAGUGGGGAAUAUUGCACAAUGGGCGCAAGCCUGAUGCAGCAACGCCGCGUGAGGGACGACGGCCUUCGGGUUGUAAACCUCUUUUAGUAGGGAAGAAGCGAAAGUGACGGUACCUGCAGAAAAAGCACCGGCUAACUACGUGCCAGCAGCCGCGGUAAUACGUAGGGUGCAAGCGUUAUCCGGAAUUAUUGGGCGUAAAGAGCUCGUAGGCGGUUUGUCGCGUCUGCUGUGAAAACUGGAGGCUCAACCUCCAGCCUGCAGUGGGUACGGGCAAACUAGAGUGCGGUAGGGGAGAUUGGAAUUCCUGGUGUAGCGGUGGAAUGCGCAGAUAUCAGGAGGAACACCGAUGGCGAAGGCAGAUCUCUGGGCCGUAACUGACGCUGAGGAGCGAAAGCAUGGGGAGCGAACAGGAUUAGAUACCCUGGUAGUCCAUGCCGUAACGUUGGGCGCUAGAUGUGGGGACCAUUCCACGGUUUCCGUGUCGCAGCUAACGCAUUAAGCGCCCCGCCUGGGGAGUACGGCCGCAAGGCUAAAACUCAAAGGAAUUGACGG
rnacentral:rRNA from 1 species